rnacentral:rRNA from 1 species
GAUUUCUGGCUUGAAACAUUUUGCCGGCCACGGUUUCGUGUGUUAGUGCUUGAUGUUCUGGCCAUCCUUCCAAUUGCUAGUGGCUUUUCUUCAUUGAUUAGUCAUUGGUAUUGGAUCUUUUACUUUGAAAAAAUUAGAGUGUUUCAAGCAGGCUUUAUGCUAUGAAUACAUUAGCAUGGAAUAAUAAUUUAGGACUUCGGUUCUAUUUUGUUGGUUUCUAGGACUGAAGUAAUGAUUGAUAGGGAUAGUUGGGGGUGCUAGUAUUCAGCGGCCAGAGGUGAAAUUCUUGGAUUCGCUGAAGACUAACUUAUGCGAAAGCAUU